UACGUAGGCAGCGAGCGUUGUUCGGAGUUACUGGGCGUAAAGGGUGUGUAGGCGGUUGUUUAAGUUUGGUGUGAAAUCUCCCGGCUCAACUGGGAGGGUGCGCCGAAUACUGAAUGACUUCGAGUGCGGGAGAGGAGAGUGGAAUUCCUGGUGUAGCGGUGAAAUGCGUAGAUACCAGGAGGAACACCGGUGGCGAAGGCGGGUCUCUGGGCCAAUACUGACGCUGAGGAGCGAAAGCGUGGGGAGCGAACAGG
rnacentral:rRNA from 1 species